rfam:Triticum aestivum genome assembly, contig: Triticum_aestivum_CS42_TGACv1_scaffold_643803_T_4BL-0.126302_4BS-0.074845
GAUGUACUCCCUCCAUUCGGAAUUACUUGUCUCAAAAAUAAAUGUAUCUAGAACUAAAAUACAUCUAGAUACAUCCAUUUCUACGACAAGUUAUUCCGAACGAAGGGAGUAAUUG